ACCCCUACGGGGGGCAGCAGUCGAGAAUCAUUCGCAAUGGGCGAAAGCCUGACGAUGCGACGCCGUGUGAACGAUGAAGGCCUUCGGGUUGUAAAGUUCUUUCGCUUGGGAACAAGAGAGGUUGGAUAAUACCCAGCCAAUUUGAGCGUACCAGGUAAAGAAGCACCGGCUAACUCCGUGCCAGCAGCCGCGGUAA
rnacentral:rRNA from 1 species